rnacentral:rRNA from 1 species
AAGCUCGUAGUUGAAUUUCGGGAUCAGUUUGUUGGUCGUGCUUCGGUACGUACUGUCAUUACUGGUUUCUCCCUUCUGAAGAACCUUGAUGUCAUUAAUUUGGUGUCUUGGGGAAUCAGGACUGUUACUUUGAAAAAAUUAGAGUGUUUAAAGCAAGCAUACGCUUGAAUACAUUAGCAUGGAAUAAUGAAAUAGGACGUUUGAUUCUAUCUUGUUGGUUUCUAGGAUCGACGUAAUGAUUAAUAGGGAUAGUUGGG